UACGUAGGUGGCGAGCGUUGUCCGGAUUUACUGGGCGUAAAGAGCGCGCAGGCGGUCGUUCAAGUCGAGUGUGAAAGCCCCCGGCUCAACUGGGGAGGGUCAUUCGAUACUGAUCGACUCGAAGGCAGGAGAGGGAAGCGGAAUUCCCGGUGUAGUGGUGAAAUGCGUAGAUAUCGGGAGGAACACCAGUGGCGAAGGCGGCUUCCUGGCCUGUUCUUGACGCUGAGGCGCGAAAGCUAGGGGAGCAAACGGG
rnacentral:rRNA from 1 species